rnacentral:lncRNA from 1 species
UAUAAGUAGAAUUACGUCACCGGCUAUCCGAUUUGACGAUAGCUGACUUUCUCAGGUGUUAGAGUUAUGGCCCAAAACAUUCAAAAUUUAAUACUAUAUUUUCGUUGAAAAACUCUACAAAGGCUAUAUUUUUAUAUUUUGUUAAAAUACCCCAAGUAGGCCGUCUUGUCGUGAACCGUGGAUUACAGGAAUCAUUCUUGAGCUGAAGGGGUGCCACUUUCUUCAAUUCCAAGGGACAAAUUCCUUGGAAGGCAAUGGGUCCUAAAAAUGAAAUGAAAUCUUUGGAAACCAUAAUAUAAUUCUCGAUUGUGCUCUAAACAUUUUGAACAAAUAAACUCAAACCAUUCCAACAUUGUUUAAGCAUCCAAAAACCUAAAGGCUCACCAAAAACUCCAACAAACCUAUUUUCAUUUGGGAGAACAAUUUGCUGAUGCUAAGAACAUUUAAUAAUUAAGGAAAUCUCAAGCAACAUUUUUAUUUCGAAUUUCAGAUAUUUAUCCUGGGGUAAAACAUCUAAAGGAAAUAAAUACCAUCAUACAAAUCUAACUUGGAGUCUAUGAAGGCAAAAUAAAGGAAUUAAAGAAGAAGUUGAAGGAGAAAGAUUUCACAACUCAGUACGCAGAAUCAAAGUUUAAGUCUUAAAAAAUCUUAACUGAAGACCAAACGAAGAUUUUAGAAUCUGAAGACUUGUAACCAUAUAAAAUUUUUAAGUUACAAGUUUUCAGAUUCCAAAAUCUGCGUUUGAUCUUCAGUUAAGAUUCGUUGAGGAACUAUAUGUUGUCCAAUUAAUCUAUUGCGCCAAGAACUAUUUGGAUCAAUUAGCAAAAAUAGAGGUUUUAAUCAAA